GGUUCCAUGGUGUAGUGGUUAGCACUUAGGACUCUGAAUCCUGCGACCCGAGUUCGAAUCUCGGUGGAACCU
rnacentral:tRNA from 1 species